GUGCGACGUAUACCAAAAACGUGCAUGGGGAAUGAGAGAGAGGGAGAAAGGAAAAGUGGAGAAAAAGGUUGGGUUUGGAGUUUUAAAUCUCAACCCUUCAUCUUGAAUCUUCAGAUUUAAUCUAACGGUAGAAGUUUAAAUAUUGAUUUAAACUAACAUAAAAUAGAUAAUUAAAAUAUAAAUAUUA